GCCCAGUUAGCUCAGUCGGUAGAGCAUCAGGCUUUUAACCUGAGGGUCAGGGGUUCGAGUCCCCUACUGGGUG
rnacentral:tRNA from 1 species